GCCAUUUCUUGGGCCUCUCUCGCAGCAUAUGGAGGCUCCCAGGCUAGGGGUCGAAUCGGAGCUGUAGCCGCCGGCCUACACCAGAGCCACAGCAACGCGGGAUCUGAACCACGUCUGUAACCUACACCACAGUUCACGGCAACGCCAGGUCCCCAACCCACUGACCAAGGCCAGGGAUCGAACCUGCAACCCAAUGGUUCCUAGUCGGAUUUGUUAACCACUGCACCAUGACAGGAACUCCAGUCCGUGUAUUCUUUUUGCAAAAAUUAAAAGAUGUAUGAAUAGAAAAAUCUGGAAGGAUUCACACUGAUUGUGAGUAGUGGCUACCCCUGUGGUCAAAUGUUGAUGAGAUAAGGAGGGAAAGGAAACGUUUGCCAUCUUAGAUGCUCCUAGGUGUUUGCAAUGAGAAUGCGUCUGCGUGUUUAAAUAAAAGCGAAGUGUUUCAAUUUACUUUGCUCUUCACUUUUUACAAUAUAUUCGUGUAUAUAUAUAUAUAUAGUCAUUUAAAAAAUGUGUAUAGAUAAAAAUGUAACAAUGAUUAUCUCUGCAUGGUGGGACUAGGAUUUCGUUUAAAUUUCGCAUUGGGUAGCUCUUGGUAUUUUAUAACGUUCCGUGAUGAAUAUGCAUUACCUUUGUAAUUAUCAUGAAUUAUGUGAAUCCCUGGAGAAACAUCCUUCUCUCUGGAAUUUGGCUCUCUGAGCCACCCCACAUGGAAGAGACCGAAGGAAGAGGAUGUUCUUUUAUCUCACUAGGCAAAACAACACAUUCUCAACCUAAAACAUUUGGCUUGACCAGACACAAAUGGAAUGUUUGGUUUUCUGAAUAUACAGAGGUAUAUAUUCUUGGGUCUCCGAGGGUUUGGGCAUUAUUUGUUUGGGAAUGUGCUCAGGCAUCAAUCAACACAAGCUUCGCAGGCUUUUGUUUUGCUGGGGAGGCAAGGUGCUACAGGCGAAUGCACGAAUGAGACCCGGUCCUCUCCUUUAGGGUCAAGGUCAGGAUCUAACGGAGCCGAGAAAUACACAUCCCCGGAAUAUGAAACUACACCCAACCCAACAUCUGAUGGUUUAUAGUGUUUAGUACCAAUGCGUAAGCAUUACAGGCACGAAGCAGAGUCAGAAGAAAUAAAAGGGCCGGAUAGGGUGCAUGGCCUCAUGGUCCACGUGCCUCAUUUGACACAGGAGAUGCAUCAGCCUCAGGGAGCUAAUGGAAGCUGCUCAGCAGAGCUUGGAUAACUCCUGUUCUUGCAGAUAUUCUACUAGGCUAGAACUGCGUCCUCUAGGCAUUGUUGGCAUUUUGUAGCGGAAGGCUGCCCCGUGCCUUGCACGAUGUUUAGCAGCAUAUAAUCACUACAUGCAGAAAAUCAGCCAGUCCGAGGGAACCAAUGGAUGUUAGUGAUAUGGAAAAUAUAGGCAAAGUAGCAUAAAACUCUGGAAAUGCAGAUGUACUUAGACAUAAAAGGAAAUAGAAAGCCACUGUGAAGUCUGAAUAGGGAAAUGUCACAAUGGAAUAAUGUUUAAGGGAGAUUGACUUGUAUGCAACAUACGGAAAGAUUUUAUGGGAACAGACUGGAUUAAGGGAACAAGCUGGGGAGAAAGACUCCUUGGCAGCUAUGCGGGUGGAAUGGGGUAGUAACAAUGGGAAAAGAAAGAAGUAGUAAGAGAUUAGAUAUACUCUAUAGGGAACCUGGACUGGACAUGGCUUAAUACAGAAAAGGAAGGAGAAGAAUGAAUGAAAGAAGACAGUGUCUGAUCCUGGGAAACCACAAGGAUGGGGCUAAAAGUGACAGAAAUGGGAAUGUCAAGAAAGGAAGCCAGUUUUCAUUUGUAGGUGAUCAUGAGUUUCUUUAUCAACUUGGUGACUUUGCAGUCACAACGAGAUACCCAAAUAUUAAGGAUCACUAGGCAGCUAAAGACCAGAGUGGUGUAAGGUAACCAUCCUACAUUUACCAGUCCCAGGAGUGGAGAAAUGACCUCAAAAUGGUGAGGCCAAGUUUGUGGGUCACUGGUGAGUUUGCGAAUCUCCCUUCUACUUUAAAAAUACCACUUGCACAGGAGUUCUCAUUGUGGCACAGCGGAAACAAAUCCGACUAGGAACCAUGACGUUGCGGGUUCGAUCCCUGUCCUCGCUCAGUGGAUUAAUGAUCUGGUGUUGCCAUGAGCUGUGGAGUAGGUCGCAGAUUCGGCUCAGAUCCCGAGUUGCUAUGGCUGUGGUGUAGGCGGACAGCUGUAGCUCCGAUUCAAUCCCUAGCCUGGGAACCUCCAUAUGCAGGUGUGGCCCUAAAGAGCAAACAAACAAACAAAAAACCGCUUGUACAAAUAAUUCAAACUCACAAACGUAAAAAACAAAAACAAAACACCUAUGUGGUCCAGACCACAGGCACAAAGUGCUUCCCAUCCUACUAAUUUCUCAUUUAGCCUUUCCCUCCUGAAGAGCAUAUAGGACACAGGCUAAGGAGAGAAGAUUAUUUCUCUGAGGAGUUCAUUUUAUGUUUUCCGAUAUCAUCAUCAUGCAGAGGAAUUUAUUUACUGCCAAAUUAAACUCGAGCCCUAUCAGGGACUGCACAAAGAUAACAGCACAGAUGUGGUCCCUGGCUUCUAGAUGCUUACUGAUACAAAUAGGUAAAGCAUUUACAGAUAGGAUAACAAAUUCUAAACAGUGCAGAAAUAGGAAGUUUGCUCAUCAUGUCCAAGGUGAAAGUAUUGUGGAAGAAAGCCAUAGUGGAGAGAGAAUUCCAUAAUCAUACAAAAGGGCACUGGUGGCAAAGAAAUGUGAAAAUGAGGAGGUCGGGAAUCCCCCUCCCCCUCACUGAAUCACUGAAUGAUCUUCAGCAUCUCAGUUCAACUCAUGGAGUCUGCAUCUCUCCAUCUGUUAAAUGCCACUGAUAUUGUCUGCUUGAGGAUACAUGCAUCAAUUUACUUAUUCAACAAACACUGAAUUUUACCUCCAUAUGCCUGUCCCUGUGGGUGGAUCUAGAAGUAUAAAACUGAAAGCAACAUAACCCUUACCUUUGGAGGAAGUUGAUUUAAAAAAAACAACACAUUUAACUGCAGGGAAUUGUGUCUGUUAGGAUGCACUUGACAAUAAGCAACAAAAGAUCCAACAUAAGGGGGCUUAAAUAAUAAAGAGAUUAUUAUCUCACAUCAAAAAAAGUCUCAAGACAAAAGGUUCUAGGGUUGAUUAAUUUCAGUGGCCAUGAAGGACCCAGGUAUCUUCUGCCUUUCUCCUCUGACAUCCUCAGUUUGUUGGCAUCAGUCUUCAUGGACAAAGAUGGCUGCUAUAGCUCCAGACAUCACAUCCUGAGGCAACCACAGAUUACAACUGUGAGGAUUCAGAGACGUCAUGAAUAUAUAGUACAACUAGGCCCUGGCACAAAGAAAUUCCUCCUCGAGAUGUUAGUUUUUAUUAUUUUUUGAUAUUUUGUGAUACCAUUUUGCUCUUUUGAAACUACAGUCGUUUGCUAGGGCUGCCAUAACAAAAUAUUACACACUGAGAGGCUUGACCAAUGGAAAUGUAUUAUAUCACAGUUCUGAAGGCUAAAAUUAAGGCUGUCAGCAGGAGCAGUUCCUUCUGAGAUCUGUGAAGGAAGGAUCCGUUCUAAUCCUCCUCCUUGACUCUUCACAUGGUAUUCUUUUUAUAAGGACACCAGUUCUAGAGAAUUAAGGGCUCAUUCGAUUCCAGCAUGACCUCUUGCUAACUAAUUACAUCUCUUAAUGACCCUAUUUCCAAAUAAGUUCACAUUGUGAGGCACUGGGGUUAGGACCUCAACAUAAGAAUUUUGGAGUGAGGGCAAAAUUCAACCCGUAACAUUUGCUCAUCAAUGGGCUUUAGUGCAGGUAUCUCAAUCAAUACUUUUUAGAGGACCUUUCCAGAGAUAGGAAAUAGGUGGGGAAAUGAGAACCCGGUCAAGAGUUCAGCACACUAGAUCUCCCUUCUAGAUGCCAAAUUCUCUUCUUCUGACGAUGGGUGGAUUUAUGACGCACUUGGCGGUGAAAGCCUUUGCGGGAAAUUUUGUAGACACCAAGCUCUUUUUAUAAAGAAUUACAGUGUCUUCUCUUGGUUUUAUUUCCUUGACUCUUUUCCCCUCCAACUUCAUCUCACUUAGUCCCAUGCCCUUUUCAAGAAAAAUAAUAAUAAUCUUAUGGUAUUCAUGUGUAUUUCUUCCCAAUAUGCAGGAGGAAAACAGACAGCCAAGAGUCUGUGUGAGUCUGUGAGUAUAUUCCUGUUUGGUGCCAUCCUUUUCUGCUGGUAGAGAACUAACUGUGCCUGGCAUCUGGCCACAGUGUAUGGAGACCACAGUAUAAAACGAAAGCAUGAUACUCUUUUUUUUUUUUUUUAACCCAAGUUGCACAUUCUCCUGGGUAAGCUAUUAAAAGUGAGUGCCCUCUGUUGCUUGAGGGAAACACCGAGACCAUCUGGAUGGUCUGCCUCUCUUCCAUGUGGGGCCCCCCAUCACGCUGUCCUUGGCCUGGAGGGCAGUUGGAUGGGCAAGAGGGCUGGGUUUCAUUUCUGGAAGAGCGAGCAGCUGAGAGGGGAUCUCGUUGGGGCUCUCCUUCCUGCUCCUCAGCAGGACUGCAGGCUUCUUCAUUACGCCCAGCUGAGAGACUGUCUGGCCUCGGCCCCCUCACCUCCCCCAGCGCCUGUCUCCCUCCCACAUCCUGCAUCCUUCCCUUCCACCAGCUCUGUGAGUAUUGGGGACCUGAAGCUUUCUGACUUUGUAAACUGGGACCUUCUACCCCAGAGCUGCUGCUUAGAGUCCACCCUGGCCCAUUCCCUGCAUCACAUUCCAUCAGCGGGAUGGAGAACUUGGUACUUGCCCCGCCACUCAAUUAGAACCAUCAAGUGCAUUCCUUGGGAUUCCACACAGAGGCCUUAUAUGGUCGCAUGUACCAUUUUUUAAUUUCAAGCUCAGCUUUCUGCAAAUGAAAUUAAAGACUUCUCCUUUCUCUUUUAAUGCUUACCAUUAAUAUUUUUUGAAGGAGAAAUGGGAAAAAAAAAAAAAGUUUUAGCAUCUCCAACAGUGUGUUCCAUGAGUUUCCUGGUGGGAGGUGAUAAAGGCAUUUUUUUUUAACUGACUAAAAAUGGUUAGCCACAACACCAUGGAAAUAUCUCAGAAUGUUUUAAAAUGAAAAAAAAAAUGUCUGUGACAUGGAAAUAGCAAUUGAGAGGGGGGUCCAGGGGUUACCGGCGGCUUUGAAUGGCUGAUUUUAGCCUUCUCUGGACCUCCCCCAUGAUUUCCACACCAAUUUCCAUCGACUUCAAAAAAAAGCAAGCCUCCUGAGGUACAGAGAGGGGGGACAAGUAUGGGACCAUUUGUUAUUUUGGACACAGAUGAUUCCAACUGAGGGAGGACAUUAAAAUGUUUCAAGAAACACAGCCUUUGAAAUACAGCAAGAGGUUCACAUCUAUAACAGACUCUUCCGUAAUUUCAACCCCCUCCAUCGAGCGCAGAAGCCUUUUGUGACUCUGUCUGCCUCAGAUCCCACCCCCUAGGAAUCUUUUUAAGUCGUGGAAUUUAGCCGCAGCCUUUCCUGAUGCCUACCAACUCAUCGUGCCAUAUACAGAUCUAAGCAUACAAUUAUGGUAGACAACAUCCUAAAAACCUCCACCAUUUUAAA
rnacentral:lncRNA from 1 species